rnacentral:tRNA from 2 species
GCGGGGGUGCCCGAGCCUGGUCAAAGGGGGCGGACUCAAGAUCCGCUGGCGAAGGCCUGCGUGGGUUCGAAUCCCACCCCCCGCACCA